rnacentral:rRNA from 1 species
GGUUAAGCGACUAAGCGUACACGGUGGAUGCCCUGGCAGUCAGAGGCGAUGAAGGACGUGCUAAUCUGCGAUAAGCGUCGGUAAGGUGAUAUGAACCGUUAUAACCGGCGAUUUCCGAAUGGGGAAACCCAGUGUGUUUCGACACACUAUCAUUAACUGAAUCCAUAGGUUAAUGAGGCGAACCGGGGGAACUGAAACAUCUAAGUACCCCGAGGAAAAGAAAUCAACCGAGAUUCCCCCAGUAGCGGCGAGCGAACGGGGAGGAGCCCAGAGCCUGAAUCAGUGUGUGUGUUAGUGGAAGCGUCUGGAAAGGCGCGCGAUACAGGGUGACAGCCCCGUACACAAAAAUGCACAUGCUGUGAGCUCGAUGAGUAGGGCGGGACACGUGGUAUCCUGUCUGAAUAUGGGGGGACCAUCCUCCAAGGCUAAAUACUCCUGACUGACCGAUAGUGAACCAGUACCGUGAGGGAAAGGCGAAAAGAACCCCGGCGAGGGGAGUGAAAAAGAACCUGAAACCGUGUACGUACAAGCAGUGGGAGCACGCUUAGGCGUGUGACUGCGUACCUUUUGUAUAAUGGGUCAGCGACUUAUAUUCUGUAGCAAGGUUAACCGAAUAGGGGAGCCGAAGGGAAACCGAGUCUUAACUGGGCGUUAAGUUGCAGGGUAUAGACCCGAAACCCGGUGAUCUAGCCAUGGGCAGGUUGAAGGUUGGGUAACACUAACUGGAGGACCGAACCGACUAAUGUUGAAAAAUUAGCGGAUGACUUGUGGCUGGGGGUGAAAGGCCAAUCAAACCGGGAGAUAGCUGGUUCUCCCCGAAAGCUAUUUAGGUAGCGCCUCGUGAAUUCAUCUCCGGGGGUAGAGCACUGUUUCGGCAAGGGGGUCAUCCCGACUUACCAACCCGAUGCAAACUGCGAAUACCGGAGAAUGUUAUCACGGGAGACACACGGCGGGUGCUAACGUCCGUCGUGAAGAGGGAAACAACCCAGACCGCCAGCUAAGGUCCCAAAGUCAUGGUUAAGUGGGAAACGAUGUGGGAAGGCCCAGACAGCCAGGAUGUUGGCUUAGAAGCAGCCAUCAUUUAAAGAAAGCGUAAUAGCUCACUGGUCGAGUCGGCCUGCGCGGAAGAUGUAACGGGGCUAAACCAUGCACCGAAGCUGCGGCAGCGACGCUUAUGCGUUGUUGGGUAGGGGAGCGUUCUGUAAGCCUGUGAAGGUGUGCUGUGAGGCAUGCUGGAGGUAUCAGAAGUGCGAAUGCUGACAUAAGUAACGAUAAAGCGGGUGAAAAGCCCGCUCGCCGGAAGACCAAGGGUUCCUGUCCAACGUUAAUCGGGGCAGGGUGAGUCGACCCCUAAGGCGAGGCCGAAAGGCGUAGUCGAUGGGAAACAGGUUAAUAUUCCUGUACUUGGUGUUACUGCGAAGGGGGGACGGAGAAGGCUAUGUUGGCCGGGCGACGGUUGUCCCGGUUUAAGCGUGUAGGCUGGUUUUCCAGGCAAAUCCGGAAAAUCAAGGCUGAGGCGUGAUGACGAGGCACUACGGUGCUGAAGCAACAAAUGCCCUGCUUCCAGGAAAAGCCUCUAAGCAUCAGGUAACAUCAAAUCGUACCCCAAACCGACACAGGUGGUCAGGUAGAGAAUACCAAGGCGCUUGAGAGAACUCGGGUGAAGGAACUAGGCAAAAUGGUGCCGUAACUUCGGGAGAAGGCACGCUGAUAUGUAGGUGAAGUCCCUCGCGGAUGGAGCUGAAAUCAGUCGAAGAUACCAGCUGGCUGCAACUGUUUAUUAAAAACACAGCACUGUGCAAACACGAAAGUGGACGUAUACGGUGUGACGCCUGCCCGGUGCCGGAAGGUUAAUUGAUGGGGUCAGCGCAAGCGAAGCUCUUGAUCGAAGCCCCGGUAAACGGCGGCCGUAACUAUAACGGUCCUAAGGUAGCGAAAUUCCUUGUCGGGUAAGUUCCGACCUGCACGAAUGGCGUAAUGAUGGCCAGGCUGUCUCCACCCGAGACUCAGUGAAAUUGAACUCGCUGUGAAGAUGCAGUGUACCCGCGGCAAGACGGAAAGACCCCGUGAACCUUUACUAUAGCUUGACACUGAACAUUGAGCCUUGAUGUGUAGGAUAGGUGGGAGGCUUAGAAGUGUGGACGCCAGUCUGCAUGGAGCCGACCUUGAAAUACCACCCUUUAAUGUUUGAUGUUCUAACGUUGACCCGUAAUCCGGGUUGCGGACAGUGUCUGGUGGGUAGUUUGACUGGGGCGGUCUCCUCCUAAAGAGUAACGGAGGAGCACGAAGGUUGGCUAAUCCUGGUCGGACAUCAGGAGGUUAGUGCAAUGGCAUAAGCCAGCUUGACUGCGAGCGUGACGGCGCGAGCAGGUGCGAAAGCAGGUCAUAGUGAUCCGGUGGUUCUGAAUGGAAGGGCCAUCGCUCAACGGAUAAAAGGUACUCCGGGGAUAACAGGCUGAUACCGCCCAAGAGUUCAUAUCGACGGCGGUGUUUGGCACCUCGAUGUCGGCUCAUCACAUCCUGGGGCUGAAGUAGGUCCCAAGGGUAUGGCUGUUCGCCAUUUAAAGUGGUACGCGAGCUGGGUUUAGAACGUCGUGAGACAGUUCGGUCCCUAUCUGCCGUGGGCGCUGGAGAACUGAGGGGGGCUGCUCCUAGUACGAGAGGACCGGAGUGGACGCAUCACUGGUGUUCGGGUUGUCAUGCCAAUGGCACUGCCCGGUAGCUAAAUGCGGAAGAGAUAAGUGCUGAAAGCAUCUAAGCACGAAACUUGCCCCGAGAUGAGUUCUCCCUGACCCUUUAAGGGUCCUGAAGGAACGUUGAAGACGACGACGUUGAUAGGCCGGGUGUGUAAGCGCAGCGAUGCGUUGAGCUAACCGGUACUAAUGAACCGUGAGGCUUAACCUU